UCUCCAUAUUCUACUAUGAAAACAGGAGAACCCAUCCAUGCUCUCCAGCAAGCUUGACGGACCGCGUCGAGGACAGUCUUUUGACUCCAAUAAGAGUUACGAAGAGAAGCAACUCAACAAUGAGUUGAAAAAAACUACUUUCCAUAAGACAGACGAGAACAAAGACAAGAUAUGUUCCUCCAAGAGAGAACAUGCUGCGAUUGUCUUCUCUCUGAAGAAUGAAGUCGGGGGGCUUGUGAAGGCAUUAAAAUUAUUUCAGGACAACCAGGUAAAGCUUUUGCAUAUUGAGUCACGUAAGUCCCGGCGGCGUAACUCCGAGUUGGAAGUACUGGU